UACGUAGGGGGCGAGCGUUGUCCGGAUUUAUUGGGCGUAAAAGGCUUGUAGGUGGCCACGUCAAGUCGGAUGUGAAAUCUCCCGGCUCAACUGGGAGGGGUCAUUCGAUACUGGCGGGCUCGAGGCCGGUAGGGGGAAGCGGAAUUCCCGGUGUAGUGGUGGAAUGCGUAGAUAUCGGGAGGAACACCAGUGGCGAAGGCGGGCUUCCUGGACCGGUUCGUGACG
rnacentral:rRNA from 1 species